ensembl:lncRNA
UUAUGUCAUAAUGUCUCUGUCCAAACUCCCCAGAUCAUGUUCUACUGAACCCCCUCAGGAUGCAUGGGAAGAAGCCAAAUCCACAGAGGCUUCACUCUGCAACCUGCAGGAUCGAAAGGAUUUGCUUCCCAUUUUUCUGGUGCCAGAAACCGCAGGGCACCAUCAGAGGUCCAUGCCCUGACAGGUCAAAGCUGUUUUGGUGGCACACACGAUACUGGGUGUGUGUGGGCCUGGAGGAGGAUGAGGGGGAGGAGAGAAGGGGUGGUUCUCUAUGCUUGUACCCUGCAGAGCCACUCUCUCCUGGGGUAAGGAUGACAGGAAGUCAGCCAGAUGGCACGGAGCAGGUCUGCAGCAUGUGACCUCCUCUCUGGAGAGGCAGGAAACGAGGAGGAGAAUAGGGCAGAGUGAAGAGGAGCUGGAGGAGGCAGCAUAAGAUUAAGGAAAGGAGCACUGGAAUGCGCUCAACUUGGAGGUGACAUCACUCCCUGCUCCGACAUCCAGCUUCUGAAAGACGGCAGACAUGUUGCAGCUGAUUGAAUCAUGCUGGAGUGAAACCAAGUCUUCUGUGAUACAAGAUCAGAGGAGUGAGCCAAGCCUUGGGCUGCCAAUGGAGGAUGUGAAGUCAAGCCAGGGAGCCAAGGCCACUGUCAGCUCUCUCAGUGGUUAGAAUAACCCAAUAAAUUCUGCAGGGAACUGGGCUGGGACUGGACCAGUGCUGGCAAAGAGUACAAGUGAGAGAUUCACAGAUUCUGAUUGGUUGUUCCAGGAGGAAUAAACGAUGUGAAGCUGGGCUCAGAGAAGGGGUCGCUGUGUUUUAUGAGCCAUUAAAGUUUUAUUCAUCCCUGCACCGAGGCAGCCUUCGGCCAUGGGGUCACCAUGCUUUAAAUAAACUCCCAUCAUUCCUCUCCCCCCACCUCCCCAAUAUCUGCCUUCCCACCCCCUGCUCCCCCAACCCUUUCACCCACAGACUUAAUGGACUGUUUAUUGUUUGAUGUUCAAGUCCGACUUCAUCAUUUUUUCCCUCUCUCGCGCUCUUUCUCUGUUUUCCGCUCUCCACUAGUGUUUAGCGGUAUGGAGGUUUGACUGAUGCGGU